rnacentral:rRNA from 1 species
GACGAACGCUGGCGGCGUGCUUAACACAUGCAAGUCAAGGGGAACCUUCUGCUUCGGCGGGAAUAGUACACUGGCGGACGGGUGAGUAACGCGUAGGCAACCUACCUUUGUGCUUGGGAUAAUUCACCGAAAGGUGGGCUAAUACCGAAUACUGUCUGUUGGUCACAUGAUUGACAGAUUAAAGAUGCUGCAAAGUAUCACACAAGGAUGGGCCUGCGUUCCAUUAGCUGGAUGGUGAGGUAACGGCUUACCAUGGCGACGAUGGAUAGCUGAUCUGAGAGGGUGAUCAGCCACACUGGGACUGAGAUACGGCCCAGACUCCUACGGGAGGCAGCAGUGAGGAAUAUUGCGCAAUGGACGAAAGUCUGACGCAGCAACGCCGCGUGGGGGAUGAAGCACUAUGGUGUGUAAACCCCUGUAGUUAGGGAA